rnacentral:rRNA from 1 species
ACAGCAGUCGCCACGGUAAUACAGAGGGUGCGAGCGUUAAUCGGAUUUACUGGGCGUAAAGCGUGCGUAGGCGGUUUGUUAAGUCUGCUGUGAAAUCCCCGGGCUCAACCUGGGAAUGGCAGUGGAUACUGGCAAGCUAGAGUGUGUCAGAGGAUGGUGGAAUUCCCGGUGUAGCGGUGAAAUGCGUAGAGAUCGGGAGGAACAUCAGUGGCGAAGGCGGCCAUCUGGGACAACACUGACGCUGAGGCACGAAAGCGUGGGGAGCAAACAGGAUUAGAUACCCCGGUAGUCCCUGUCUCUUAUAC